AUCACUUCUUGACCUUUUGGCUGAGAUAAAGUGUGAUAUCUGUUCUUAUCAGUUUAACAUCUGAUACAUUCUCUAUUUAAGGACUAAAUAUUACGUGGAUUUUGGAACUGGGAGGUGGAGUAGGUGUUUACUCCAUCUACUUCACACAUCAGCCUGGUAUUACAGUUUAUCCAAAAAUGCUGAACCUCCC